rnacentral:rRNA from 1 species
UACAGAGGUCUCAAGCGUUGUUCGGAAUUACUGGGCGUAAAGCGCGCGUAGGCGGCUUUGUAAGUUAGAGGUGAAAGCCCGGGGCUCAACCCCGGAACUGCCUUUAAGACUGCAUCGCUUGAAUCCGGGAGAGGUGAGUGGAAUUCCGAGUGUAGAGGUGAAAUUCGUAGAUAUUCGGAAGAACACCAGUGGCGAAGGCGGCUCACUGGACCGGUAUUGACGCUGAUGUGCGAAAGCGUGGGGAGCGAACAGG